rnacentral:rRNA from 1 species
GGACUACCGGGGUUUCUAAUCCUGUUCGCUCCCCACGCUUUCGCUCCUCAGCGUCAGUAUCGGCCCAGAGACCCGCCUUCGCCACCGGUGUUCCUCCUGAUAUCUGCGCAUUUCACCGCUACACCAGGAAUUCCAGUCUCCCCUACCGAACUCUAGCCUGCCCGUAUCGAUUGCAGGUCCGAGGUUGAGCCUCGGAUUUUCACAACCGACGUGACAAACCGCCUACGAGCUCUUUACGCCCAAUAAUUCCGGACAACGCUUGCACCCUACGUAUUACCGCGGCUGCUGGCAC